AUGCUGUGGCAGACUCAGCUCCUCUGGCUCCUCGUGCACUGGGCAAAGGGCUCCAGCGGGGACAUUCUUGUAACCCAGACUCCAGAGUUCCUGGUGGUGUCUGCAGGAGACACAGUCACCAUUGAGUGCAAAACCAGCUCCAAUGUUAGCACCCACAUGGACCUCUUCCAGCAGAAACCAGGGCAAGCUCCUAAGAUCUUUGUCUACAACACAAACAGCCGCCCCUCCGGGAUCCCCGACCGGUUCAGUGGCAGUGGCUCUGGCACUGACUUCACUUUCACCAUCAGCCACAUAGAAGCCAAUGAUGCCGGAGAUUAUUACUGCAUGCAGAAUACCUAG